GAUGUCAGUAGUUGAUGUCAGUAGUUGAUGUCAGUAGUUCAGUAGUUGAUGUCAGUAGUUGAUGUCAGUAGUUGAUGUCAGUAGUUGAUGUCAGUAGUUCAGUAGUUGAUGUCAGUAGUUGAUGUCAGUAGUUCAGUAGUUGAUGUCAGUAGUUGAUGUCAGUAGUUGAUGUCAGUAGUUGAUGUCAGUAGUUGAUGUCAGUAGUUGAUGUCAGUAGUUGAUGUCAGUAGUUGAUGUCAGUAGUUCAGUAGUUGAUUUCAGUAGUUCAUGUCAGUAGUUGAUGUCAGUAGUUCAUGUCAGUAGUUCAUGUCAGUAGUUGAUGUCAGUAGUUCAGUAGUUGAUGUCAGUAGUUCAGUAGUUGAUUUCAGUAGUUGAUGUCAGUAGUUGAUGUCAGUAGUUGAUGUCAGUAGUUGAUGUCAGUAGUUCAGUAGUUGAUGUCAGUAGUUCAGUAGUUGAUGUCAGUAGUUGAUGUCAGUAGUUGAUGUCAGUAGUUGAUGUCAGUAGUUCAUUUCAGUAGUUGAUGUCAGUAGUUGAUGUCAGUAGUUGAUGUCAGUAGUUGAUGUCAGUAGUUGAUGUCAGUAGUUGAUGUCAGUAGUUGAUGUCAGUAGUUCAGUAGUUGAUGUCAGUAGUUGAUGUCAGUAGUUGAUGUCAGUAGUUGAUGUCAGUAGUUGAUUUCAGUAGUUGAUGUCAGUAGUUGAUGUCAGUAGUUGAUGUCAGUAGUUCAUGUCAGUAGUUGAUGUCAGUAGUUGAUGUCAGUAGUUGAUGUCAGUAGUUGAUGUCAGUAGUUCAGUAGUUGAUGUCAGUAGUUGAUUUCAGUAGUUGAUGUCAGUAGUUCAUGUCAGUAGUUCAGUAGUUGAUGUCAGUAGUUGAUGUCAGUAGUUCAUGUCAGUAGUUCAUGUCAGUAGUUCAUGUCAGUAGUUCAGUAGUUGAUGUCAGUAGUUCAUGUCAGUAGUUGAUGUCAGUAGUUGAUGUCAGUAGUUGAUGUCAGUAGUUGAUGUCAGUAGUUGAUGUCAGUAGUUCAUGUCAGUAGUUCAGUAGUUCAUGUCAGUAGUUCAUGUCAGUAGUUCAGUAGUUGAUGUCAGUUGUUCAGUAGUUCAUGUCAGUAGUUGAUGUCAGUAGUUGAUGUCAGUAGUUCAUGUCAGUAGUUCAGUAGUUUAUGUCAGUUGUUCAGUAGUUGAUGUCAGUAGUUGAUGUCAGUAGUUGAUGUCAGUAGUUCAGUAGUUCAUGUCAGUAGUUCAUGUCAGUAGUUCAUGUCAGUAGUUCAGUAGUUCAUGUCAGUAGUUGAUGUCAGUAGUUGAUGUCAGUAGUUCAUGUCAGUAGUUGAUGUCAGUAGUUGAUGUCAGUAGUUGAUGUCAGUAGUUCAUGUCAGUAGUUGAUGUCAGUAGUUGAUGUCAGUAGUUGAUGUCAGUAGUUGAUGUCAGUAGUUGAUGUCAGUAGUUCAUGUCAGUAGUUGAUGUCAGUAGUUCAUGUCAGUAGUUCAUGUCAGUAGUUCAUGUCAGUAGUUCAUGUCAGUAGUUCAUGUCAGUAGUUCAUGUCAGUAGUUCAGUAGUUGAUGUCAGUAGUUCAUGUCAGUAGUUGAUGUCAGUAGUUGAUGUUAGUAGUUGAUUUCAGUAGUUGAUGUCAGUAGUUGAUGUCAGUAGUUGAUGUCAGUAGUUCAUGUCAGUAGUUCAGUAGUUGAUGUCAGUAGUUGAUGUCAGUAGUUCAUGUCAGUAGUUCAUGUCAGUAGUUCAUGUCAGUAGUUCAUGUCAGUAGUUCAGUAGUUGAUGUCAGUAGUUGAUGUCAGUAGUUGAUGUCAGUAGUUCAUGUCAGUAGUUGAUGUCAGUAGUUGAUGUCAGUAGUUGAUGUCAGUAGUUCAUGUCAGUAGUUGAUGUCAGUAGUUGAUGUCAGUAGUUGAUUUCAGUAGUUGAUGUCAGUAGUUGAUGUCAGUAGUUGAUGUCAGUAGUUCAUGUCAGUAGUUCAUGUCAGUAGUUGAUUUCAGUAGUUGAUGUCAGUAGUUGAUGUCAGUAGUUGAUGUCAGUAGUUGAUGUCAGUAGUUGAUGUCAGUAGUUGAUGUCAGUAGUUCAGUAGUUGAUGUCAGUAGUUGAUGUCAGUAGUUGAUGUCAGUAGUUGAUGUCAGUAGUUGAUGUCAGUAGUUCAUGUCAGUAGUUCAUGUCAGUAGUUCAGUAGUUGAUGUCAGUAGUUCAGUAGUUGAUGUC